CUGAGCGCGGCGCGGCCCCGCGCGGCCCUCAGAGCGGCGGCGGCGGCGGCGAUGAUGUCCGAGCUGGAGCACCUGGGCGGGAAGCGGGCCGAGUCGGCGCGGCUGCGGCGGGCCGAGCAGCUGCGGCGCUGGAAGGGCUCCCUGACCGAGCAGGAGCCGGUGGCGGCGGGGGGCGGCCGUGGCCGGCACCGCGGUGCGGGGGGGUCCCGCGUCCGCUUCGAAGAGGGCGCCGUGUUCCUGGCCGCCUGCUCCAGCGGCGACACCGAGGAGGUGAAGAAGUUGCUGGGCCGCGGCGCCCGCAUCAACACCACCAAUGUGGACGGGCUGACAGCCCUGCACCAGGCCUGUAUUGAUGAGAACCUGGACAUGGUGAAGUUCCUGGUGGAAAAUGGAGCCAAUGUGAACCAGCAAGACAACGAGGGCUGGACCCCUCUUCACGCGGUGGCAUCGUGUGGCUACCAGAACAUAGCAGAAUACCUGAUCAGCCACGGGGCCAACGUGGCUGCUGUGAACAGUGAGGGGGAGGUCCCGUCCGACAUCGCGGAGGAGGCAGCCAUGAAGGACCUGCUUCUGGAGCAAGUCAAGAAACAAGGUGUAGACCUGGAGCUGUCAAGGAAAGAGGAGGAGCAGCAGAUGCUCCAGGAUGCCCGGCAGUGGCUGAACAGUGGGAGAAUUGAGGAUAUAAAGCAGCCUCGGACAGGAGCCACAGCUCUUCAUGUUGCUGCAGCCAAGGGAUAUUCUGAAGUCAUGAGGCUCCUGAUCCAGGCUGGGUUUAAUCUGAACGUCCAGGACAAUGAUGGCUGGACUCCACUCCAUGCUGCUGCUCACUGGGGAGUGAAGGAAGCAUGUUCCAUCCUGGCUGAGGCUCUGUGUGACAUGGACAUCAGGAACAAGCUGGGCCAGACGCCCUUUGACGUUGCUGACGAGGGACUUGUGGAGCAUUUAGAAAUGUUGCAGAAGAAACAGUCUGUGCUGCGAAGUGAGAAGGAGACAAGGAAUAAGCUGAUUGAAGCUGACAUGAAUGGGAAGCCUCAAAACAGACUCUUCACCAACAAAGAGAAGAUUCUUUAUGAGGAAGACACGUUGAAGUCCAUGGAAACUGAGGAAGAGAACAAGGACUCGAGCAGUUCUAGUUCUGAAGAGGAAGAAGCUGAAGAUGAAGUUUCAGAAUCAGACACUGAAAAGGAGUCAGAGAGAAAGGAAGAGCCCUUUGCCAACCACUCGAGCUGUGAAUCCAGGCCCAGCAUCACUGAGCAAAUGCCAGCACCCGAGCCCAACUCCUUCACUGCAUCUGCCAGAAGAUUCAGUUGGCUCAGCAAGGCAGAUGAGCAGAAGGAUGAGUCGCCUUCGUCGUGGCGGCUGGGCCUGAGGAAGACUGGCAGCCACAACAUGCUGAGUGAAGUCUCUGCCACUCGUGAGGCACAGAGGGAUAAAACUUCUCCCAUCUAUCGCUCCUCGUCCAGCCCUCGGAUUUCUGCACUGUUGGACAACAAGGAAAAGGACAGAGACAACAAGAGUUAUCUUGCCACCAUAGUCCCCAGAAGACUGAGCAGUACGAGUGAUACAGAAGAAAAAGAAAACAGGGAAUCUGCUGUGAACCUGGUGAGGAGUGGCUCCUACAGCCAGCAGCCCUGGAGGGACGAGCCAAAGGGAAACGAAGCUCCCCGCUCUGGUGCACCCACGACCUACGUAUCCACCUACUUGAAAAGUGCUUCCUUUGGUAGAAGUAGUGACCUGAGCAGUCCCUACAUUUCAGCCAGUCGCAGUCCAUCUCUAGCUACCUCACCCACUGCCAUUGGCUCAUCUACCUCCCCGGGCACCCCGUGGCAACCUGUCUCUUGCUGCCCCACCUCUCUCGGUGUGAACACUCCUGCUCCAGCCUGCCACAGCACCAGAGCCCCUUUCAGGCAACAAAGUGAUUCUGCUGUAGAGAAAAACACAGAGGGCAGCUGUGCCAGCACCCCCCUAGGUGUAAUCACAAACCAUGCUGUGCUCGGCGCUGCCAACGGCACCGGGAAUGCCGGGGCUGCCUCCGCCCUGGGGAAGGACCUCUCGGCUGAGGAGGCCAGGGAGCGCAGAAGGUCAUAUCUGACUCCGGUGCGGGAUGAGGAAGCAGAAUCGCUGAGGAAGGCACGAUCCAGACAGGCCCGGCAGACUCGCAGGUCUACCCAGGGAGUGACCCUGACGGACCUGCAGGAGGCCGAGCGCACGUUCAGCCGGUCACGGGCAGAGCACCAGGCGCAGGAGCCGCAGGGUGACAGAGCCGAGGACAGCAGUGACAGACCUGCGCGCUGGGCACGGAGCACGGACGACGAGACCAUCUAUCGGCGAUUGAGGGGCCCAGCACAGCCCGACAAACCCACUACACCUGUGUCUCCUUCCACAGCAGCACCUCUGCUCUAUACAAGCUCCUACCUGACUCGAACAAAUAAAUAUCUAGGGCUGGACUCUGUGAAUCCAGCAGAUUUCAGAGCAGCAGGCACAGAGAUGGAGAAAAAUGAGUGUGAAGAUCAGGAUUCAGAUGACAGAUCCCUGAACAAACAGUCGAUCCGAGAACGGCGACGGCCAAAAGAGAGACGGAGAGGCACCGGCAUCAUCUUCUCCACACAAGAUGAUGAAGAUGAAGUUGGUGGAAACGAGGAGGUGAAGGAAACUCGGCAUGAAAGACUUUCCAGGUUGGAAGCAGCUACAAAUCCCAGCACGAGUGACUCGUCGUUCAGUGAGCGCGCCUCCGGCCGCUCCAGUGCCUACAGCCGCAGGGAGAACCGGCUCGCCGCGCUCAGCAGCCGUGCAGAGGAGGAGAGCAGCAGGGACUACAAGAAAUUAUAUGAGAGUGCCCUGUCUGAAAAUCAAAAGCUGAAGUCAAAGCUGCAAGAAGCCCAGCUUGAGCUGGCUGAUAUCAAAGCAAAGUUGGAAAAAGCAGCCCAGAAACAGGAGAAAACUUCUGACCGAUCCAGCAUGCUGGAGAUGGAGAAGAGGGAGAAGCGAGCCCUGGAGCGGAAACUCUCUGAAAUGGAGGAGGAAAUGAAGUGUGCUGACCCCCUGUGCUCUGACUAGUCUGCAGCGCAAGUUAAGCCACUGAGGUUCUCUCCGGAUGGCAGGUGGGACCAAGCUGCUCUCAGAAGGAAGGACCCACCUGAGAGCUCUCCCUGCACCAUGCACUGACAGGAACGACUUCCUGCCACCCUGGAGGAGGUUCCAGCUCUGUUUCUAUUUGAAGCUUUUGUUUCUACCAAGCACAUAACUCUGAAAGGCUUGUGCUGCAUCUUCUGCUGCAACAUCUCUUGUUCUCUCAGAGAGGGGAAAAUAAGCGUGAAUGUGUGAACCAGGAGGAGAAGGAGAAAGGAUUGAAUAUGUCUAAAUUCCAGACUCUUUGUUCAGUGAGCAGAUUUUGACAGAGCUGAAGUCGGACAACCAAAGGCUGAAGGAUGAGAACGGAGCCCUCAUUCGAGUCAUCAGCAAACUCUCCAAAUAGGAAUCAGAGCAAAGGGAGGACAAGGAGGGGUGUCCUACACCAGCUGCCAACCCCACCACCAAGCCCUACCCCUUACUUCCCGUCAUGUACAGCAAGUGUUUCAGCCGUGGGAUCAAUGUCACACCUGCCUUGCCCUGCCCUUUGCUGUACAUUCCCUUUCUACUCCUAUUUCCCCCCAACACGCCCCCUGCCAUUUUAUUUUUUUUAAUUUAUGCAUGUUGUGGUAUCUCGGACAUUUUAUUCAAGGGAGAAAUGUGAGGACUGGGUUUGAGCUGCCAAAACUUCUUCCAAAAGCUCAGUAUUUGGUUUUGGACUCUGACCUGGAGUGGGAAGCUCCUACUGUAAAAAGUGACAUCUGAAGAACUAACCCAGCCCUUUACAGGUGGGAAAUGUGAACCUGGGCUGGGACUCUGAGGAUGCACAUCAGCCCACUGAGAUAUGGGACUCUGGUUAAAUGUGAUGCUGUGAAAGCAACCAGAGCUCAUGUUUGUCACAGGCUGAUGAGCUGUUUUGCACAGACACCUUCUCCUCUUGCCCCAGUAGACUGAGUCUUCUAUUUUAGAUAAGAGUUUUGAACCUGUUCAGUAACAUCAGUGCUGUGCUGACACUCAGUGUCAGACCCUGUUCCCUCGCCCUCCCUUUCCCCCCCAGCCUAGGUGUCCUUCCAGGGCUCCAGUCUCUGGUUGGUAGCAUCCAGUUGCCACCUGGACACUUGUUCCUUGGGACAGGAUAUAUCCCAGGCACUUGCUGAGCUUUCUGAAGGACAAACUUGAACCCUUACAGACCCUCUGCUGCUCUCACCUGUGUGUGAGCAUGAAUCACCUUGCAGGGAGCUGUGCCCAUGCCAGAAACCAGGCUCCCCUUCCCAAAAGCCAUCUGGGAUGUUCUCCCCCUGCCUCCCUGAUGGCGGAGCCCAUAGCAGAGCCUAGUCUGGUGUUUCAGGUACCCUCCCUUUGAUUUGCAGCAGGAUUUGUAGACAGAGAAUGCCAGCAUCCUGUCCCACACACCUUGCAGAGGUCAGGGUGUGUCAGUGUCAGAGGGACAAGGAGCUGCUGGUAACUGAAUCACCAUGAUGAAAGUCUUCUGACCUGUCAGAAACUUGUGAUAUCUUUGACCUUGAAGGAACCCCCCAAAAAUAUUCCUCUUUAAUGUUACAUGCACUCUAAACAGUUUGGAAUUGUUCUCUCCCGUGGGCAUUUAGACAUUGGCUCCUCUCUCCGUGCUGUGGGACGUCAUCAGUUCUGUUCAUCUUCCCAUUUACAGACUCCUCCCAAACAGUAACUUCCCUCUCAGAGACGUUCUGCUGUAUCCAAAACAUUCUCCCAUCUACAUCCUUCCAUAUUUGUCCUUUCAUCCCCUUUGUCCUUCAACUCCCCAGGCUCUGUCUGGCCAAGGGCAGCAGUUCUUGGUCACUGGACCUGGAGGUGGCCAUGGAGCAGCUCUGCCAUGUUCCUGAGCAGUUCUGCUGGCUCUGGCUGGGGGGACUCUCCACUACCAGAGAGAUAAGAUACUUGAACAUGAGCAGAAUACUUGAGCUUGCUCAGCAGGGUAAAACUUAUCUCUAUCAGGCAAUCCUGGGCUUUUUUGAACCUUUUGCUGGUUAUUGCCUCAGAAAGCAUCUCUGUUUCCCUCUCUCUGGGGUUUUCUCUCUUUUUUUUUCCCCCCUAAUUCUCCAUUUUCCCCCCUUCCCCUCCCUGUCCUGCCUGUUUCCACCUCUCUUGCUCCUCCUGGAGCUGCCAGUUCUCCCUUCUCCCCAGGCAGCUCUGACCACAAGUUGCUCUUCAGCUGGUUGAGCCGUUUGUGCAGCUGAGGCAUCGUUUCUCCUGGUACACUGAGGCCCUGUCUCUGCUGCUGAGCUUUGGGAGGAAGAGACCAAAGCUGGUAAAGGCAUCAGGGUUUCUGCAGAGCACUGCCUAAGCCAGGCAUCCUUUUUAUAUUCCUUGAUUUUAACCCUGCGCUAUUUAAUGGCUUUAAAUCUUGAGAUCCAGUCAGUGCUUCCCCUGCACGCCGUCCCCUCUUGGUGCACUCUUUCUGUGAGUACUUCUGCCAUUCUUGGUGUUUUCUCUCUUGGUGACCGCUCCUCACUUCAUCCUCGGGCUCUGCUCUGCUCAGGAGCUCGGGGUCAGGAGCCCUGUCCCUGUCCUGAGCCCAUGGAGCAGGAGGUGCUCCCCAGCUGGGCUGCCACCUCAGGCCACGCAUCCCGGCAGGAUGAGGAGGAGAGUUCAGAAACAAGAUCCUGUCCUUCUCACAGGCGGGUUCCUGGCAGCAGGAAGAAGCCUGGUGUCUGUUUUAGGGAGAGGGUUCAACCCAAUCUGACAAAUCCAUCCUGCAGUGAUGUUUUGCCCCUUCUUACAGGACACUUGCUGCGCUUUUUCCCAAGGAGCAGAGUGGAAAGGCUGUGGGAGGCUCGUUCUUCUGAGUGGCACCUUGCAAAGCCAAACCACUGUAGCUGCAGUGUCUGCUUAGCACUGGAUUCUCUGAGCCCUGGGCCCCCCAGCUCAGUGUCCCUGAUCAGCCAAAGCUGUGAGCGUCUCGUGGUGAAGGUGCAACUGCAAAUCACAUUCUUGAGAAUGGAUUAUUUUGUCUCACUUCAUGCCUGACAUAACCAGUGCACUGAGGAGGUGACAAACAGGACACCUCAAACCCUGUGCUUGCCACAAGGUGCAGAGCAAAUAGGUUUUUAAAAUUGAUCCCUCUCAGAACCAGAGCAUUUGCCAGACGUGGUCUCCCUUGGGGAACAUGAGCUUUUUUUUCUAAGCAAUUGCUUGGGGUGAGUUAAUUUUUAUUGCUUGGGGUGAACCCACCUGUUGUGGCUGCAAGUUUGGUGAUGGCUCUUUGUAAAUAAACUCCUUGGAGAAGCAGGACUGGCUGAUGAGAUGGGGAGAGAAUGUAUUUUUAUGCAACUUUUGAGUGGCCUUUCAAACCCUGAGAUGAAUGAUUUGUUUUACUGGUUGUUGUUAUAUAGUAUUAUAAGUAUUAUGUGUUUGAAAGUUUGGGAAUAAUAUUCACAGCUAUGAUGCUUGUAAACACAACAGUAUUUAUAAAUGAAUAAAGUAAGAGUUGAUAAAAUAGAA